UCAGGGAAGGUGGGGACGCCCAGCGCGGUAGGUGGCCAGGGUCAAUGGAGGGAAGGGGGCGGAGCUGAUCCCUGAGGAGCAGCUGCGGGCCCACCCCGGCGGGUCCAGCGACCCCUCUGUCCAGACCACCUGUUCCAGAGCAGCCUUCAGGGUCUUGAUGCACAAACGCUCCUCCUUAAGGUGCACGGAGCCGCUGCCCUGGGAAGCCGCGUGCGGGGGAGUCAGCUAUUCUGACCGGGAGCGGGGAGGUUCUGGCUGCCAGGCUCCAAACAGCCCUCACUGGUAGCCUGAGGCGGUUUGCAGAAGCCGGAUCGUGCCUGUCAUCGGGGAGCACCCCCUGCAAAGCCUGAGGGAGCACCCCGAACUCCGGGGCGCACGCUCCUCCCCACCGGAGAAGCGCCAGCCUCUGAGCGGCCCCAGACUGGGGGCCUGAAGCAGGAGGAUUGCUAGUUCCAGGCCAGCCUCAGCAACUCAGUGAGGACCUUUCUCAAUAUUAAAAGACACUCACUGGGUUGCCCCCUGACCUCAGUGCGCCUGCCUCAGUCUCCUGAGUCGUGGGACCACAGAUGCACCCUCAUGCCUGACCUGGCUGGUCGGCUUGAAGUAAUCUUUACAGUUGAAGCCUUCUCGAAUGUCCUGACUUGAUGCUCCAUCCCCUGGAAUCGUGGGUAGUGGACAACGCUUGCUUUGGGUGACCCCAGGAGCAGUGCUAGGGAGGGAGGGUCCCCUGGGGGCCGCUGUGAGGAAGGGCAGGUGCUGACAGGAGGCACCAGGGAGCCCACACUGGGUGGAGCCUGGGGGCUGUCCCAUGAGCCCCUGGUGUGGGGCUCAGGGGGGCUCCUGUGAGCUGCCUGUGGCAGAGAGCUGGGACUGGAGGCAGCUGCAGGAGACGAGUGCCUUCAGGAAGGAGGAGGGGUGUUUAGGGAAGAGGUUUAGGACAGCUGAGGCUUUGCCAAAUGUGGUCAAGUGUGCAUGACGACCAAUGCAGGGCUUCAGCCAUUUGUAAGACCAGCCAUGGCUUCAACGGGCUGCUGUGCUGUGUGGGCCUGGCCACCACCGGGCUCCAGAACUUGCUUGACAUCUCCAACCAAAACUCCCUUCCCGUCAAACUUCAGCUCCUUCCCUGCACCCGCCCUCUGCCCUCCCUUCUGGCUGUGUUCCUGGUCCGCUGUGAGGGAGGCGCUCUGCACAGGUCCUUCAGGUCUGGCUCACCUCACCAGCAGGGCAGUUACCGCUCACCCUGUCGCAGGGAGUCAGGAUUUCCUUCCCCAUCAGGGCUGCUUAACGCUCCCUUGCUGGGAGGACCACGUGUGCCACCCCCCGCCCACUGAGGGGCCCGGAGGUUGCUUCCAGGCCCUGGUGGUGUGAGCAGUGCUGCUGUGGAUGUCCGUGUGCAGAUGGAACAGCUGGUGCAGGAUGAAGUGACGGUGCACUUUGUUUUCAAGCUGUCAGGAGAGGGCAGGUGUGCAGACAAGGAGGUGUGGAAUGUCAUGGUGCCCCGAGCAUGUGCGUGACGGGAGGCGUGGGUCUGAGUUACAUGUGGGCAAACUGCACGGGAUCCAUGAGAUCGCCCCAGGAUUCAAAUAGGCGUGUUGGGGCUAAGUGCUGCCAGGUGGGGUGGGGGCUGGAUCCUGCUGGCAGAGGCCCUGAGGCCCAGGAGGGGAGGGUCUACUAGAGGAUCAGGGCCUGCUCUUGGCCUCUGCCCUAGUGGGUGUCCGUCUCCUAACAGGGGGCUUCCUGUGCAACUCUGUGUCCUCCAGAGGUGGGUGUCCAUCUCUUAACAGGGGUGCUUCCAUGGACCUCACUCAAUACGGACUGUGGCGUACACAAUGGGCGUGAAAGUGCACACAGUUGGUGCUCCAUGGUCACGCCAAGUUGCCCAAUUUGACCUUGCACCUGCCAUCCUCCAGCCCCAGCCUCCCAAGUGGCGGGGAUUACAGGCGUGCACCACGACACCUGGAAGUCCAUCUGUUCUUUCUUAAUAGUUUCAUGUUGCUGAAUGUUAUUAAAGCGAACAUUAAAAACGA